ACUUGGCUUUGAUGUGAUGAACCACAGUCUGAAUAUGAACAGGGAUUAGACUUCAAAUAAAACCAAAAUGAAGACAAAAAGCUGACAUGUUGGGAUGAGGCAGUUUUCAAUAACCAAGACCUGGCCAAAAGAGACAUCCUUUGCUGCUGCAACAGUCCCUCAGCUCCCUGCAAACAUCUGACAGGAAACAAAUAGACACCUCUGGGUGGUCUCACCAGAAAACACAAUGUGGAAUCAAUAUGUCAUGAGUUAGAUACAACUGCUAAAAUGACCAGGUUUCCUGACAAGAACCAUUCCUUUUCAGCUGAGCCUGAGUCCCUGACGUAGCUAGAAGCUUAUGGGAGGCUGUGGCAGUCAUGCUAAACCACAUUUCUUUUCCUCUGCUCUAGCCUGAUUCCCUGGGUUGCUAGAGUUAUGUCCCACUGAGGGGUAGGAGCAAAACUUGCAAUUGGAUUCUGUCUCUGGCGGGUUGCCAAGGCAGAGAGCUGUGAGCUACUCACAGGGAGCCUUGCUUUCUGAGAGAUAUUCAAAUACUCUGGAAUUUUCCUUUUUCUCCGCCCCUUAUGGUAUUUGAGAACAUCAAUGUCCUACAGGAUUAGUACUGGUAAUCUUACCUCAAUUCUUAUCAGGUUUUUACAAGAUCUAUCAGGACUUUAAAAGUGUCAAUUUUUGUUUCAAAGGUAACUUAAUCUUUCACACAUGUAGGGGUUAAAAAUAAUUAGUUACUAUGGAUAAAUCCCAUUCAGUCACAGUUUGUUUGGUUCUUUGUAUUUUCACAAGCAUGUAAAGUGACAGGUGAUUAACCAGUGACCAUAGUAAUAUACCAUGGACUCUGCAAACAAACAGGAAUUCUUCAUCUUAAGGUGUAAAAAAUCUGGUUUUUCAUUUAAAUCAGAUGCCAAGGAGACAUAUAGAGUCCAGUGCGACCUAUAAUUUGUCAAAUAUCUUAAUGACAAUAAAUGCUACCUCUUACAGAAAUAGCCUUUUAACACAAAUAAAUAUGUUACAUAAAAUUGCAGAGAUGAAGCUUCCCAGCAAACCUUAGAUCUUCAACCUUAGAUCCCUGGUCUACGAAGGUACUACUGUUGUGAACCAAAGCUAAUGCCAAGGGAUGCUCCAGGAGUGCAGCAAGAGGUAAUGAAAAGGCAGUCAAGGAGGGCUGUACCUUUUUGACAGGAAGGUCCAGUGGGUGUUGUUCUGCCAUCAGCACGAUGACAUGCCCGCAGACUGACAUCACUCCUCACACUCACACAGUGGUCAUGCCAGCAGUGAAGAGAACAGCUCAGCUUGUUUCUGCCAGCCUACCACCACGGUGGAUCACUGUAACAGCUGGGAGCCUCUGACAGAGUUUUUUGGUAACUUGUUUACAAAAUGGAGGAAAACCUCUGCUGUAUAGUCUGCUCAUUUGUAUGCCUACCUUGUCUGCCAUUUCUGAAGCCAAUAUCUCAGAGCAAUCUCUAAGGAACAUGGAGAGGAGAUGGCUUGGUCUCUUUACUGCUCUUUCCCUUUUUCCCUGACCACUGUUACCUUGCUGCAUUAUUUCCAGUUUCUAGGGUUUAAGUUCUUCCACACUGUUCUACGUACCUUUCUGCAGAUAAACUGGGCUGUAUUUCAUGUUCCUGUUAAGCCACUGGAUAUGUUUAAGGCAUAGACAAGCUGAAUUUAUUCAAGGCAAGAAAGACUAAUUCUAGCCUCAAGGAGUUUGUAUUUAUAAAUGUAAACUUUAGUGAAAACACUAAUUCCAAUAAGGCCUGAUUGUUUUCAUUUCCAUGGUUUGGAUAAAUUUGUGAUCUGAUGAAAAGACACGGAGGCUAUUUCUGGAUUCCUUUUUACCAUCAACUAUGGUUGUGAUCUAGCUCUUGCUUUUGGAGUUUGGUUUUGGGUUUUCUUCUUUGCUUGCUUUUUUUACAGUGAGUAAUCAUGCCUAUCAAUUCACCAGUGUAGUCUAGGUUAAAUGGCACUGGAGAGCACAAUCACUGGCUUUUGUUGAUAGUUUAUUUAAAAAAGAAACCUACUGUCAGGUAAGAUGUAUUCACACAAUUGGGAGUGCUCCAGUUCUGUUGCUACAGUGUGUUGAGUACAGCUGCAUUAACUAUCUUGUAUUUCCCUGUGUUGAAUUGUCUACAGGAGUGUUUACCAUACUUCUUGGGCCCAGGAAGAGCUGGGAUGCUGUGGGCAGUGUCAUACCUCUUCUUUCUCUGGAUUCACCACUUUAGAUGGGAAAUAAAUGGAACUACAAGCCACAGGGAUUGCUGUAGAAGACCAUCAGACAAGCACAAAAUAUGAACUGAGGUUCAAUAAGUAGUAAUGACAUGAACAACAACAACAAAAAAGCACAAUGAAGGUCCCCAUAAACGUUAGAAGAGUAUUCAGCUUGCAAAAACAGAAGUUAAGCUAGGCUAUGCAGGACUCUUCAUCCCUUGUGCAUUUGCACUGUGAUGUAGCUUUAAUUAAAUUACCAUAUUUAAUUACCUGUCUCAUUCAAUGAACAAGGAGUUACUCAGUCUGUACAUAUCACUGCUAUUCAUGGUUUACCCUCUGGUCUUAUUCUCCACACAUCACUUAAGUCCAGACUGACUAGAGAAAUGAUUAAUUUCUGUAUAGAUGCCUUUUGCAGGUUAAACAGGCUGUUUAAAAUGUAUCACAAUCAUCAAUAAAUAUGAUGUUUGUGAGAGUAGGCAUCAUAUCCAUUUUACAGGUAGGUAAAGGAGACAUAAAGAAAUCAGCACUAGGCUUAUUUAAUUUUAAUCCAUUCAAAUUACAGCUUCAAAUUAUUUUACCUACUUGUACAGAAAAUUUAAUUCUAGUUCUACAUAGCUCGCAAAUAUUUCUUUUUGGAAUAUUAAAAAUCCAUUAACGAUAUAUUUCUUGUACACAAUUUUCCGGAUUAAAAACUGUGAAAAAAACCCAGAACUGUUAUCACAUUGCAUCAUACUGACACCAGUGUAUGCCAUCAGCAAGCUAGCCUUGCUGCUGAUAGGAUGGAAUGUGCCACAUUUGACGAUCUUUAAAGAGGGGGCUCAGGAGAAGUCCACAAAUUACAGACCAGUAAAGUUGAUGAUGCAGAUGAGCAAAAUGACAGCAGGCAAAGCCAAGAGGGCCAGCAGUGGACAGAGGAACACACGCUGUGAAGAGGAACGACUCAGCGUGUCUCGUACUGUGGAGAGGGAUGUCUGCCCAUUCAUGCCAGCUCUCUCUCAGUGUAUAAUUAUGUUAUUUUUACAUAUCCCAUUCUAUGUCUCACUGUUGGUAAAAUUCAUCUGCUUCUGGUUCUUGAUUGCAACUAAUGUCAUUCACAUUUUGACAGUUCUGAUGGGCUAUUCAUAUUCUCCCUAUUCCCUCUAGGUGUAAAUGACACAAAUCCAGAUGAUAAAUUCAUUUGCCCUCUUUGAGAAAAUAAAUACAUUCUCUUGCACCCAAGAGACCACAGCUGCAUCUUUUUCAUUCUAAUAAUUCAAAAAUUUUCUGCGUUCUUCAGCCAAGGCAAAACCAAUUCUUUCUGAGCUUAAAAUGCUCUAACUAGCUAAUUUAGGAACUUUUGGUGUUCUACAGCAUUUUGCAGUUGCCCUCAGAGAGCAGCCGAAAUGCAAACUUUUAUUUUAGGAUGGGAAAUUUAUGCAUCUAUAAACAAUGACAUUCAAAAUGAUAGUUUAGACACAUUGGAGAGUAGUUAGUGGAAUGCAAUCACACAUUUGUUUUAGUCAGAAAAAAAAGAGCCAUAAACUAUAGAAAACAGGAAGUAAUUCAAAUGAUUUUUUAGUAUGUAUAAAAUUCUUCUGAAAGCAAAAACCUCUUUUCAACAUAAAAACAAACAAACAAAAAAAAUUCGAGAAGAUCUUUUUUGGAAUUUAAAAUUUUAGACUACCAGUCUUCUGACUCAAGACUUUCACAGAAAGUUUCUUUUCUCCUAAAGGAAAGUACUUUGUCUUGAAAUUGUUGAGCGUUUUAAUUAUGUUUGGGAUUCUUGCUGUAAUUUAUUUCCAUCUAUUUAGUGAAAAUACUAACAUCUUCACAAAUAAAAUUUACAUGGAGA